rnacentral:rRNA from 1 species
UACGAAGGACCCGAGCGUUAUUCGGAUUUAUUGGGUUUAAAGGGUGCGUAGGCGGAUUAGUAAGUCAGUGGUGAAAGCCCAUCGCUUAACGGUGGAAUUGCCAUUGAUACUGCUAGUCUUGAGUAUGGUUGAGGUGGGCGGAAUAUGUCAUGUAGCGGUGAAAUGCUUAGAUAUGACAUAGAACACCAAUUGCGAAGGCAGCUCACUACACGAAUAUUGACACUGAGGCACGAAAGCGUGGGGAUCAAACAGG